UACGAGGGGGGCGAGCGUUGUUCGGAAUUAUUGGGCGUAAAGGGCGCGUAGGCGGUGCGGUAAGUCACCUGUGAAACCUCUGGGCUUAACUCAGAGCCUGCAGGCGAAACUGCCGUGCUGGAGUGUGGGAGAGGUGCGUGGAAUUCCCGGUGUAGCGGUGAAAUGCGUAGAUAUCAGUCGGAACACCGGUGGCGAAGGCGGCAUCUUGGGCCGUUACUGACGCUGAGACGCGAAAGCCAGGGGAGCGAACGGG
rnacentral:rRNA from 1 species